GACGAACGCUGGCGGCGUGCCUAAUACAUGCAAGUAGAACGCACAGUUUAUACCGUAGCUUGCUACACCAUAGACUGUGAGUUGCGAACGGGUGAGUAACGCGUAGGUAACCUGCCUGGUAGCGGGGGAUAACUAUUGGAAACGAUAGCUAAUACCGCAUAAUAUUGAUUAUUGCAUGAUAAUUAAUUGAAAGGUGCAAUUGCACCACUACCAGAUGGACCUGCGUUGUAUUAGCUAGUAGGUGAGGUAACGGCUCACCUAGGCGACGAUACAUAGCCGACCUGAGAGGGUGAUCGGCCACACUGGGACUGAGACACGGCCCAGACUCCUACGGGAGGCAGCAGUAGGGAAUCUUCGGCAAUGGACGAAAGCCUGACCGAGCAACGCCGCGUGAGUGAAGAAGGUUUUCGGAUCGUAAAGCUCUGUUGUAAGAGAAGAACGGGUGUGAGAGUGGAAAGUUCACACUGUGACGGUAUCUUACCAGAAAGGGACGGCUAACUACGUG
rnacentral:rRNA from 1 species